GACGAACGCUGGCGGCGUGCUUAACACAUGCAAGUCGAACGGUGACGAGGAGCUUGCUCCUCUGAUCAGUGGCGAACGGGUGAGUAACACGUGAGCAACCUGCCCCAGACUCUGGGAUAACAGUUGGAAACAGCUGCUAAUACCGGAUACGAGACGGAGAGGCAUCUCUACCGUCUGGAAAGUUUUUUCGGUCUGGGAUGGACUCGCGGCCUAUCAGCUAGUUGGUGAGGUAAUGGCUCACCAAGGCGACGACGGGUAGCCGGCCUGAGAGGGCGACCGGCCACACUGGGACUGAGACACGGCCCAGACUCCUACGGAGGCAGCAGUGGGGAAUAUUGCACAAUGGGCGAAAGCCUAGAUGCAGCGACGCCGCGUGAGGGAUGGAAGGACCUUCGGGUUGGUUAAACCGUA
rnacentral:rRNA from 1 species